GAUGAACGCUGGCGGCGUGCCUAAUACAUGCAAGUCGAGCGAACAGAUGAGGAGCUUGCUCCUCUGACGUUAGCGGCGGACGGGUGAGUAACACGUGGAUAACCUACCUAUAAGACUGGGAUAACUUCGGGAAACCGGAGCUAAUACCGGAUAAUAUAUUGAACCGCAUGGUUCAAUAGUGAAAGACGGUUUUGCUGUCACUUAUAGAUGGAUCCGCGCCGCAUUAGCUAGUUGGUAAGGUAACGGCUUACCAAGGCAACGAUGCGUAGCCGACCUGAGAGGGUGAUCGGCCACGCUGGAACUGAGACACGGUCCAGACGCCUACGAGAGGCAGCAGUAGGGAAUCUUCCGCAAUGGGCGAAAGCCUGACGGAGCAACGCCGCGUGAGUGAUGAAGGUCUUCGGAUCGUAAAACUCUGUUAUUAGGGAAGAACAAAUGUGUAAGUAACUAUGCACGUCUUGACGGUACCUAAUCAGAAAGCCACGGCUAACUACGUG
rnacentral:rRNA from 1 species